GUAGGUGGCAAGCGUUGUCCGGAAUUAUUGGGCGUAAAGCGCGCGCAGGCGGUUCUUUAAGUCGUGAUGUGAAAGCCCACGGCUCAACCGUGGAGGGUCAUUGGAAACUGGAGAACUUGAGUACAGAAGAGGAAAGCGGAAUUCCACGUGUAGCGGUGAAAUGCGUAGAGAUGUGGAGGAACACCAGUGGCGAAGGCGGCUUUCUGGUCUGUAACUGACGCUGAGGCGCGAAAGCGUGGGGAGCAAACAGGAUUAGAUACCCUGGUAGUCCACGCCGUAAACGAUGAGUGCUAAGUGUUAGGGGGGUUUCCGCCCCCCUUAGUGCUGCAGCUUAACGCAUUAAGCACUCCGCCUGGGACGUACGGCCGCAAGGCUG
rnacentral:rRNA from 1 species